UAUAAAACAUUACUGAAGAUUGACUGGAGGGAGAUGAUAAGUACUGUGCAUAAGCUGUUGGGUUCAAUCAGUGUGUUUUAUGAAUAUGUGCCUUGACCGAAGAUCAUUUAUUAAUGACAAUGUCUUUGGUCGCCAUCAAACAUCAUUUGUUGCAAGGAGUCUGCGAGAUCAUGGUGAGAAGAUGAACGUUAGAUGAUGACAAACCUCUUGAGGUCAGAGACAAAAAGGCUGCUGGAAAAAUGAAGGUGAUAUGUGGUAUAACCUUUAAAGUUUUAAUAUGUGUAGAGAAUGUAUUGAAUCACUGAUAAUAUUUCAUUACGGAUAGAAACAUCAGAGUUGAGAAGUUUUCGUUUGUUCGUCAGUUUGCGUUUCUGGUUGACGUCUGUGUGAGAUGUAUCCUUGUCCGAUUUUUUGAUCCCUGCGUCAUCACACUUUAUCUGCUGCUAAUGUGAAUUAGUGAGCUUUAUCUGCUGCUAA